ACUAGUAACCCACACUUUAGUAUUCUCGCGGUGUCGUCCGGUGGUGGUGUUGUCCCGUGGUGUGCCGUACCGCGGUGUGUCGUACGAGGAGACUUCCUCAUUCCAGAAUCGAGCUAUUGUGAAGUCUCCUCCCACCCCAGCUCACCCCUACCUCAUCAUAUGCCCACCUUCCACUUCCUUACUCUCUUCUCUAACUUCGCGAGGCCCAACCGCAUUACUCGAACGAUGCUUAUUUACUUACUUGGUUCGUUCCUUUCGCGGAAAACCAUACUCCUUCCCAAAGCAAUUUUCUUUACUCCCAACGUGUAUUCUCUAUCCCUUGUGUAUCUUAUGGUUUAAAUCCGAGACCUCCAUUAUUCUUGGUGCGACUUCACGCAGCUUUUCGGAGAAACGAACGUUUGAGAUUACCACAAGAGAGUUUCUAACAUUUGCCAUAUCCUAUGAUUUUGCACGCUCUUAUAAGUAUUAAAAUAUGGAAGGAUACUGAUUUUAUUUCACUAUCUCUAAUCAAUUAUUUUUCUACCAAAAGAAACAAAAAAAAAAAAAACAUACUUUAUGUUUUAGAAUCGUAAAACCUUGCCUUGGACUAUCUCCAGCAAUAGCGAACAUUCCUAACGUUUGACGUUGCUUCUAAUAGUAAACACAAAACCUGGCAAAGUUUGAUAGAGACAGAGAGACAGAGAGAGAGAGAGAGACAGAGACAGAGAGAGAGAGAGAGAGAGAGAGAAAGUCUACAGUAGAAUAACAAUAUAAUCCUUAUCUAGCACACAAAAUGAGUGACAUCGAUGAGUACACAUUUCUCACUCCGCAACCUCUUCAUUUUCGUUUAAUCAGUAAUUACUAUUCAUACCCAACGUGAUCACGAUGACGACAAUGGGCACAAUCGAACGUAAAUCGAGAAACGGAGAAGAAGAAGAAGAAGAAAAAGAAGAAGAAGAAGAAAAAGGAAAAGGAGAAAGAGAAGAAGUGACAGAGGAGGAGGAGGAGGAGGAGGAGGAAGAGGAGGACGACGACGAAGAAAAGGAGGGGACUGUAUCGUCGCCAAAGAGGAUGGAGUGGCGCCAAACGGCGUGGAUGCGAUUCGAGUUCUCGGCCGAAUAACAAGUAAAUCAAGCGUGUAAUUGGAAUUCAAUUCGCACAGUGGCACAGAUACAAGGCAUUACGAUUCCAUCGGCAGCAGGCUCGUGCAAGCAAGCAAGCAAGCAAGCAAGCAAGUAAGUAAGAGAACGAGCAAGUGAGCAAGCAAGCAAGCACGAGUAUAAACGCGUCAAGUAGGGUUCUGUAAUCUACGAGUAAAUCGCCUCUUUACGACGAUAGCCUUUCGUUCUAACGUAUCCAAAGAAAUUGAUACGUGUAAUCUGCCUACGUAUACGGGUAUACGUGUUAACGUGUUUUCGAAUCAUAUCUUUUUGGAUUAUUAUGAUUACUCAACUAAUACUUGGUUGAGAUCUUAAUUCUCAAAGGAAACAAAAUCUAUGGAUGAGUAAAUAUCAAGCAACACAGUAUUACACAUGGUGAAAUAAAACGAAUUCCUUUUUCGAAGCGGAAAGUGUAGGUAUGCGCUAAUGAACGCUCUCCGAACGAAUCGUUAGGUGGGCGUAAGAAUGCUAGUGCGGAUCGUAAAUUAUAAUAAGAAAAUAGAUAGUACAGGGAUUGCUUCUGCAUCGCCAUUGUAGUUCGCGCCGAGUGAAAAGCCACGAGCGUCGUAAUCGACUCGAGACGGAAUUCAAUGUUUCUACCCACGGAAGUGAAGAGAAAAGAAGAAGUUUUGCUCUUCGUUCUGUACACGAAAACGAUAAGAUCAGACUAACAGAGAAAGAGAGAUUUCAAAAAAGAGAAAAAAGAAAUCAAGGAAACAAAAGAAAAAAGAGAAAAAGAAAGAAGAAAAUAAAAAACUAAAUGAACGAUCUUUUUGUUCGAACGUAAAAAAUCACAUAUUAGAUGUUCAAUCUCUAUCAUCAUUAUUUAACAAUUAAAUCUCCAAUUAUGUGAGAAAAUAUUAGAAUAGAGAUUGCAAUGCUUUUAAAAUAUUACAUCUUACGAGUUUUCAGGGCCAACGAAUCGUAUUUGAAUCACACGUUUCCACAGUGUGAGCUCAAAAGCUCCUUGAUAAUUAAAAAAAAUUAAUUUCUCCUUUUCGAGAUUCUUUUACCCUAAUUUGUUUGUUUUUCUUUCUUUCUUUUUCCCCGUCCUCUAAUCCCCCCCCUCCUCCAGAUAAUAAAACUAAAAACCUAACUUGUGAAACUACAAGCUUAAUUACAAUAAUUAAAAAAUCGCGAGUAAUAGUAAUUUUUUUUAUUAAAUUACAUAAAAACUUUGGCCCACCCUUUGUCUCAAAAAUGUAUAGAAAACGUAUCUACAUUUGAUUUUCUAAUCAUAGCAAUCUGACGUUUCUAAUAAUACGAUUUUUUUCGAGAUAAAGAGAAAGAGAAAGAGAAUGAAAUAGAAAGGGGGAGAAACAGAGAAGGGAAGGGAAGAGAGAGAGAGAGAGAGAGAGAGAGAGAGAGAGAGAGAGAGAGAGAGAGAGAGAGAGAGAGAGAGAGGAAGGGCGCAUCAAGAAAAAAGGGGAUGAUAGAGAAGGGUUCGAGGAAAGGAGAAAUGGUAUCAUUGAAAAUAGCGGGCAAUCCGUUAUCAUAUAGUGGGGGAGGAAUAAAAGUGUGAGGGAGAAAAAGAGAGAGAGAGAAAAGGGGGGAGAAAGAGUGGUAUAGCAUAGAAGGUUAACAAAAUCAAUAACAGUGGGUGGUUGAAACAGGGCUGGCCACCCCGGCCAGCCGUCCCGGACUUGCUGGGGGGCUAGGUCGGCCACCGACCUUUAUCCAGGCCAACUGCAUCAUCCCCAUUUCCACGCGUGCAUGCGCGCGCUCCAACUCUACUAUUCUCAUGGCCAGCCCUUUUUCCACGAGCUAAAGUAGUAACUCAGGUAAUAAACAACUUAACGAAGCACAUAAGAUAAAAGUUAAUAUCAACGAACGGGGCUAAGUUGAGAAAGAAAGCAAAAAUAGAAAAAAAUGAACAAAGAAAUGAGAGAGAGAGAGGGAAAGAGAGAGAGAGAGAAAGAGAGAAGAAAAAAAAAGAUAAAAUAGAUACGAAUCGAAAUAUAACUUUUCUAAUAUAUGAAAUAUUCUUUCGACAUUAUGUGAAGUGAAACGUUAGAGAUUCAAACAAGGAAAUAAAUGAAGAAUCCAAUUUCUUUUUAAGGCCCCCCGCCUCUCUCUCUCUCUUUCUCUCUCUCUCUCUCUCUCUCUCAUUUGUUACUUAUAGAAACGUUAAAGAAAAUUCGCCUUCCGGGAAGAAAAUUGGAGCGAGCUAAGCGAGAGACCAAAGUCCCUCUAGUCUUUAUAUAUAGACUCGCGAGAGCUACUUGUAGACGAGCGAGCUCAAAAGCGAACGGUUGUUUUUAACUUCGCUAUAUGAGGAAUAUAUGAUAACGAUCGAACAAACACGUAUGUGUGUGCGAUUUAUUUCAAUAAAAAAAAAAAAAAAAAGAAAAAAAAAACUUCACCUUCCUACCUCCAAAAAAAAAAAGAAAAAAAGAAAAAAAAAGAAAGAGAAAAAAAAAUACGAGUCAAUGAAAAAUGACGGAAAUUUAUAGAUGAGCGAAAUAUCAUUGAAAUUGAUUUUUUAAAUAUCUAAAAGUACCUAUCUACGUCGGUCGUUGACGUCACACGUUCUUUUUGUUAGAUAUUCAAGAUGGCUGCGUCAUCGACGAUCGCCGUUUACAAAGAGAUAUAAUCGUCGUUUAAAUAUAUAUAUAUAUAUAUAUAUGUACAUCCGAAUAUUUUGUAAGAAUCGAGAAACCGAUUAUCCUGAAAUGAAAUAUAGGAAGGAGGAUGAAACCCAAGUUAGAACACUCUGAGAGUGUUUCUAUUUGCGGAAAUUAACGUGUCGCGCGUGUAGUAUGACUAGCGUGCUUAGCAAUUUAGGCCAACACCGACGUGCAGUCGUCCUUGCGAAGCAAUGUCGUCCUGCCAACUGACCGAAACGUACACGUACAGAGAAACAGUAAAAGAAAGAGAGACAGAGAUAGAGACAGAGAAAGAGAGAUAGAUAAAUAGAUAGAGAGAUAGAAAAACAGAAAGAGAGAGAGAGAGAGAGAGAGAGAGAGAGAGAGAGAAAGAGAGACAGAGAAAUAGAUAAAAUGAGAAAGAUACAACGUGACCUGCUUCUUUCCAGGAUCUAGGACAAACUCACAAGGAGAGCAUGCCUUUCCUCGACCUUGCUCUCUCUUUCGUUUUAGAAAUCGGCCCUCCUGUCGAUUUCAUUCGUGAUUUCAGACAAUUCCACUCGCGAAUGAUUUUUUGUUCUCUCUUCUUUUUUCUUUUUUCUUCUUUUUUUAUUUUUUUUUUUUCUGUUUUUUUCGUUUUCUUUUCUUCAGAUUCAUCGUUCAUUUUGUAUUCUUAAAUAUCGAACAGAAAUAUUCUUUCGAUUAAAUCUAAGAAAAAAUCGAUAUAUCAAGUUUAUGAUCGUUUUACAACGUAUUUAUAUUUAAUUCGUUAGAUCUUCUAAAUAUUUGGAAGGUAAUUAUUGAAUAUUAUUUAUUUACUCGACAGAAUGUAAAAAUAGACAAUUGUUUCUAUAAUCCAAAAAAAGAAAAAAAAAAAAA